AUUGAACGCUGGCGGCAGGCUUAACACAUGCAAGUCGAGCGGGGUGAUGGUGCUUGCACUAUCACUUAGCGGCGGACGGGUGAGUAAUGCUUAGGAAUCUGCCUAUUAGUGGGGGACAACAUCUCGAAAGGGAUGCUAAUACCGCAUACGUCCUACGGGAGAAAGCAGGGGAUCACUUGUGACCUUGCGCUAAUAGAUGAGCCUAAGUCGGAUUAGCUAGUUGGUGGGGUAAAGUCCUACCAAGGCGACGAUCUGUAGCGGGUCUGAGAGGAUGAGCCGCCACACUGGGACUGAGACACGGCCCAGACUCCUACGGGAGGCAGCAGUGGGGAAUAUUGGACAAUGGGGGGAACCCUGAUCCAGCCAUGCCGCGUGUGUGAAGAAGGCCUUAUGGUUGUAAAGCACUUUAAGCGAGGAGGAGGCUCUUUUGGUUAAUACCCAAGAUGAGUGGACGUUACUCGCAGAAUAAGCAACGGCUAACUCUGUGCCAGCCGCCGCCGUAA
rnacentral:rRNA from 1 species